UGGAUGGAGAAGCAGAAGCCGCUGGUUGAGAAGGGGCGAGGAAGCUCAACGCUGGUUGAGAAGGCUGGUUGAGUCCGUGGCGGGCCAGGGUCUUGGAGCAUCUAAGACCGGACUCCCUGUACUAUAUGAACCGUGAAUGAGAGAUGUGGAUCAGUCCGGGCAUAUAAAGGUCGUUUGAGUAGAGCGUAUCUUCAUCCUGUAGAAUGGUUAUCUACCGAAUUACCGCACUGAUCCGCACAUGGUCGUUACUAACUCCUGUGGCAGCCAGGGAGCUUAUGGUUACUGGGUGUGCCCGCUGUGAGAUGGUAGCACAGGGUAUCUUCAACCGGUUUGGAUGGCGGCAUAUUAAUAGGAUAGGUGUUUAGUCAUCUUGAUCUUUUAGCCAUUCCAGGCUGCGGCGCGAUGUUCGCCAUGUAUCUCUUUUUUUCCUUUUUAUAUACUCUGUA